rnacentral:lncRNA from 1 species
CCCCCUCUAGCUCCUACAUGUCUGUAUUAUCUUGCGUGGUGGAGAAAGGACCAACUUCUUGUUAGUUGGAUUUUAUCAUCACUCUCCAAGGAGAUAAUUCUGACGAUCAUCGGAUUGAAUUCCGCCGCUGAAAUUUGGGCCUCCCUUGCAUCCUCCCUUGGACGACCAUCUAAAAGUAGAAUCAUUCAACUCCAAAUGCAACUACAAAAUACAAAACACAACUCCGGCGAAGAUGUAGUUACCUUUUUCCGGCGAGCGAAGUUGCGUCCGAUGAGCUCGCUGCUGCCAGAUCUGCGGUACCAUCAAGGAUCUUCAAGGCCACCAUCUACAACAACCUAGCUAGGGCCCGACUUUGAGCAAGCCGUCAUCGCCCUAGCCGUCCGUCAAUCUCCGGUGGGGUUUGAAGAGCUCUUAGAAAUCAUGACUAGCCAUGAGAUAAGAAAUAAAAUGAGGCAGUCGGUCAUUAUAUCAAACCAUACUCAAGCAACUCCUACGGUAUUUAAUGGUCUGGUGAAGUCCGGCGG